CCACACAGCACCAGGGCCACGGGCAGAUCACUUCAAGAUGAGAAAUCUGGAGAGGAAUUUCCACAUGCCUACCCUGGGAGGACUGGUAGACCAGCGUGGAAGACAGGACAAAGGUUCGCGAAGGCACACCUCAUCUCCAGAUGACACAAUACAACACAACUGGGACGGAUUUGAAGGUCACGGGUGGCCUCCCCCAGAAGCUCCGGCUGUAAGGCGGGAUCCACCCUGGACAGGACACCCUUCCAUCACAGGGCCACUCACACUCACUCAGAUUGGGAGAAUGCAGAUAUGCCAACCACCUCAUGUGCACGUCUUUGGGAUGUGGGAGGAAACCGGAGUACCCGAAGCCACGGGAAAACAUGCAGACCCCACACGGACAGUGACCCGGCUGGGAGUUGGUUGGUUGGUUGCUUUUUUGUCAUCAACCUUAUAAUGAAACAAUGUUGAACGAAAAAUAUUAUUCAAGGACCUGCUAUACACUUACACCGGGGGUGCCAAAAAAAGUGUACACAUGACUUGUAUUCAUCUUUUGUUACUGGUAUAUGUUAUUAUAAUUUUAAUAGUUUGUUUCCUUUCUUAAAAUGUGUCUAUAUUUUGUUGGCACCCUCUGUACUGUUUCAUUCAACCCUCACUCAUUUCCUCAUGCAUUUAUCAUUUACUCAUUCAAUAAAUUCUCUUUACGGCAAAGGCCACGGAUCCCAAGUGCUACCUCUUUGCGCAAGUGUUCAUGAGGCUCCUGGCCCCCUUCUGGAUGUUACCCAGAAUUCUAGAACUGCAGGGCUGCAGGCUUCAGGCAACAGCUGGUCUCACUGCCUCAUUUUGCAGAUGAGAUGGUCAGUAACCACUGAAGGUCAAGGCCGUACUGCAAACAGAAGUCCUAUCUUGGGUCCACAGUUCCGUGUAUCAGGAAGCCAGAGACACUGUGAGAGGAAGCCUAGGCCACCAGAGGCUGGUCUGUGGCGAGAAACCAGCUCUCAGCCACAGGGUCUGAAGAUCAACGUUCCAGCCCCAGCUGUUCACUGCCCCUGCUCACAUUCGUACGCCCUGGGCAUCUCCACCGGCAUCUCCCACUGACUCCUCAAACUCGUGUGAACCCAGUUGUCUGCCCACCUGCACAUGCCUC